AACGAACGCUGGCGGCAGGCCUAACACAUGCAAGUCGAGCGCGCCUUCGGGUGAGCGGCGGACGGGUGAGUAACGCGUGGGAAUAUGCCCUUCUCUACGGAAUAGUCCUUGGAAACUGGGGGUAAUACCGUAUACGCCCUUUGGGGGAAAGAUUUAUCGGGGAAGGAUUAGCCCGCGUUGGAUUAGGUAGUUGGUGGGGUAAUGGCCUACCAAGCCGACGAUCCAUAGCUGGUUUGAGAGGAUGAUCAGCCACACUGGGACUGAGACACGGCCCAGACUCCUACGGGAGGCAGCAGUGGGGAAUCUUAGACAAUGGGGGCAACCCUGAUCUAGCCAUGCCGCGUGAGUGAUGAAGGCCUUAGGGUUGUAAAGCUCUUUCAGCUGGGAAGAUAAUGACGGUACCAGCAGAAGAAGCCCCGGCUAGCUCCGUG
rnacentral:rRNA from 1 species